rnacentral:lncRNA from 1 species
AGAUUAUAUAACGUAUCUGCCUGAAUUUAAUUCAAAAACUAACCAGGCCUUCCGUCUUUGAACAAUAAUAAUAAUAGUAGAGCUCUUUUGUUUUUUUUAUAGUAAACUAAAGAAGUUCAUUUUUAUAAAUUAAAAGUGAUCUUUCUUUUCCAUCAUUUUUUUGGUGAACAAGAAAAGUUCAUUGUUGUGGUGGAGGCACGCUGUUACAACCAAGUAUGGUUAUACUAAAAAGAUGAGGUGUUAGUGUAGUCGUUGGAAAAAGGCUAGUGGAUGCAAAAAGGUUAUUUUUGUGAUUUCCAGUGGUGUUAAAGUAUAGCCUAAAGGAGUUUGUAAUCCUUCCACAUAAAUGUGGUUCUGUUGCCCGUGAAGCCUCUCAAGACCCCUCCAAAUCCUUCAUGAUGCACCAUCGGUAUUUAGCUUGAAAGUCCCCGAUCCGGUGGAUGCCAUUUAAUAUAGAUGGUAUGUGACAAGAUGGGUUGCUCUGAUGGUAAGCAACCCCCACUUCCAACCGAGAGAUUGUGAGUUUGAGUCUUCCCAAGAGCAAGGUGGGAAGUUCUUGGAGGGAAGGAUGUCGGGGGUCUAUUUGGAAACAGCCUCUCUACGCAUGGGUAGGGGUAAGGUUUGCGUACACACUAUCCUCCCCAGAUCCCACUAAGUGAGAUUAUAUUUUGUUGUUGUUGUUGGUAUGUGUAAUUUUGGGUGAUAAUAUUUUAUUGCGUGACUGAUUAUGUGAUUAAUGUUUGGCGUGGCAUGAAUUGAUUCAAACAUUAAUUUAUUACGAGUCUUCCAGACAUGCCAGAGGCAGUAUGGAGUUAUAGCAUUCAUUAUUGAGAGCCUACCAUAAUUCAUCGUCUAAAUAGUAGGUGGUCAACAGUCUCAUCCUGUUGUUGGCAUGAUUAGCAAAUUGGUGAUUGGGUUAUGUGCAACUUUGUUAUCUUUGAAGGGAUUUUGGCAUGACUGAAUUCAUAGAUUUGAUUGAAAAUUCGCUAGUGAUAGUGAGUCCCUAAAUUAAGUUGUCAUUGGACUUUGAAUUGUGUAUUGUUGGGAUGUACAAAUGUUUAUGCUGGAGAGUAUGUCAGCGGGAAGUUCGAAAGUAAUGUUGUUUCUAUUGAUGGUGUUAUUAUAUGUAUAUCCAUACGGUGGAGGUGUGCAUUAUUACUGGAUGCCCAAUCCCCAUAGCCUUUUGGUGUUUGAAUUGUCUCCCAUUUGACAAGGUAUAAUUUUCGCCUUUGAGUCGUGGUAUCCCAUAAGAAAUUACGCUGGUAACGUUCCAAGAGUAUUGUGAUUUAUUUAAAAAUAUUAAUGAACUGCGUGAGAUGAUUUGGGAGAGUGUUUAGUGUGGAUAUAAUCUGCCUCCCAUGGACAGCAUGUUGGUUUUCCAACCGGCUAAUCUACUUUUAAAGUUAUCAGGAAGAAAUUGAAAGUCUACCAUAAUUUGUCUUUUAAGAAAAAUAGAAAAUUCUAGAUAUUUUUUAAAAGUGGUUCCUGCUUUCAUGUUAAAAGAUAUAAGGACAAAGUUUUAUCGGAGGGAGAGGUACUGUAUGAGAAUUAUUUUUUGAUUUGGUGUAGUUGAUAGUUUGUCUUGAGAAGUGGGUGAAUUAGUUUAAAAUAUCAAUGAUGGAGGGGACAUUAUUUCGUGCAAUUUUAGAGAUGAUAAUAAUAU